GACGAACGCUGGCGGCGUGCUUAACACAUGCAAGUCGAACGGAAAGGCCUGCUUUCCCUUGUGGAUUGCGGGUACUCGAGUGGCGAACGGGUGAGUAACACGUGAGUGAUCUGCCCCCAACUUGGGUAUAAGCCUGGGAAACUGGGUCUAAUUCCCGAUAGGACUGCAGGGUGGUGCCUGUGGUGGAAAACGAUUUUCUAGUGGUUGGGGAUGAGCUCGCGGCCUAUCAGCUUGUUGGUGGGGUAAUGGCCUACCAAGGCGGCGACGGGUAGCCGGCCUGAGAGGGUGGACGGCCACAUUGGGACUGAGAUACGGCCCAGACUCCUACGGGAGGCAGCAGUGGGGAAUAUUGCACAAUGGGCGGAAGCCUGAUGCAGCGACGCCGCGUGGGGGAUGACGGCCUUCGGGUUGUAAACUCCUUUCGACCGCGAGGAAGCCACCUGGUUGGAAGGGUGGUGACGGUAGUGGUAGAAGAAGCACCGGCCAACUACGCG
rnacentral:rRNA from 1 species